AUUGAUCAUUUCAAGAGUUUGGGUGAAAUUUAUACGUAUCUACUUGUUAAGCCAAAAGAAGCAGUUUUUAAAAUAUCUCAUCAUUAUUCUAAAUUUCUUUUGCUUUUGCAGUAUGAAUCUUAGCGAAAAUUACUUAUUUUUGCUCCUCCUGACUUGACUUUUACUUUAUUCUAGGUUAAGUAAAAUUUCACUAUAAUAAAAGCACUAUUAAAAAGGACAACUUAGUUUACAGGGAAAAAAAUCUGACUUUUUCUUAAACUCUAGUAAGAAAAGUUGGACAUCAGAUCUCUGUUCUUCAUAAUUAACUUGUGCUGUAGUAGACCUAUAAAAUUUUCUCAAAUUCGAAAAUCCACUUCUUCCUUUCCAUUUUAAGUGUAUAAAAUUGGGAAUGUCUUAUAAAAAAGUAUCCCCUCCACCUCCCAAAGGCUGUUUAGUAAGUUCACGGUCUUAUAAUUGAUGGCAUCAUAGAGUUAAGUAAACAGUAUUUCCAAAUACUAAGAUACCUCCAAUUUUUCACAUCUGAAAAAUAAUGUAGUAUCUGCAGAAGCUUCUAUCUAUCUACACUCUAUAUAACUUAUAAAACAUUUGAUCACCACCCUCAGAAUGUAAUUACAAUGGUAGUUUGGGGGUUAGUCGUCUUUAGAUGAUUAGGGUCAAUUUAAGUAACCUUUCCUUGGUCUCACUUCCUUCUUUCAGUCAUGUACCUUAAAGAAGAUGCCACAGAAGCUACCUGCAAGCCUGCUUCUUCACUUAUAGAAACCAAAGCAUACAAUAUUAAAUGCUUAAAGCUUUUCUUUGAUGUUUAACAUCUGAAAGGGGGUGUAGAUUUCUCGGAAGGCCUAUUUAAAUAGAACCAUUUUAUUAGCUUAAAAAAGAGGAAGGAGAAUGUGGAAAAGUACAGUAGUGUUCACAAAAAUACCACAUACUUUGAAACAUCUGAAAAACCCAAAGGAAAACAGAAUUUAAGCAGUGACGAAUACAUUUUAAUAUCCGGGAAUCUAAGAUCUUUUUGUUACACACAGUCAGGCAGCUCGUUUAGUCUCCACCCCUCACUCCCAAGUAUGACUCUUUUUGGAGCAUUCAUCUUUAGUAGAAAAAGAAAAGAAAGGAAAAAAAACACCAGUGUAAGUAGAGAAAAGAGUAAUCAUCUUUCUCAUGGUCUCUUCAUAUUUUAUUUAAACAAAAAACAAAGAGUGAUCAGAAAUUUGAUAACAGCCAAACUGAGGACAUUAGUUUUGAUAAGUAAACCUAACAGUUUAUGGAUACUCUGCAAAUUUCAACCGGAGAUCUCUCAUUCUUCCCAAUCUUCACUGGCAACCUGACCAGAAUUUAUCCUUGUUCAAAGAUAAACUCAUGUAAAGUGACACUGCAGUCCUAAUACAAAAGUCACCCCGGCGUCUCUCACUAUAAAAGUGUAAAGACGAAGGCAUAAAUGUCAGCAUUCUGGCACUAUUCUAAGGAAGACACUGAAAAUUAGGGCAGGGUAUUUUUAAACCAAUAGGCUUGUAAACCUAUACUCGGUAUAUAAAGUUCUGGCUUACUGUGCCAACAGUCAUCUGCUGCAGAUGCUCCAGGAGAAGAGUUGUCGGAAAAACACAUCAAGUGUAGAAGACACGUUCAAAAAUAGAAAAUAACUACCCUUGAACUAUAAACUCUCUUCAAAGGAAGUUUUCUGAAGUUUCGAGUCUUUGGAAUCUUUAAAUGUGGACUGGAAAAAGUGGAAACUGGAAAAGAAUUACUUUGUGUGCUCUCACUGUGAGGUUAAUAAGGUCGCUACUGUAACAGUGUUCAUGACAAGGAAUAUGUAGGACAAGGCUAAAGACUGAAGCAAGAGGUGAAUAAAUUAAAGCUUAUAACUGGGAAGGAGCAGAAAUGAAUUCAAACUCAGGUCUCCCUGACUUCAGAAUCCACGCCUGUAAUUCACUGGGCAGCACUGCUCUGUGAGACCAACAUAUACAGAUAUAUUGAGGUGUACGUGAUCUACUACUGAGCGGGAGAGGCAGGAUCAUCAGCAGCACAAUGACUUCCAUCUUUGGACGCAAUGACUGGCCCUGUUGCCUUGGAGUUUCCUUACUCGUCAUAGAAACAGAAAUCACUCCUAUCAAACCUAGUGCAGACCCUAGACCUAAAACUGACACGCCAAAGAACAGAGAACUUCUCACACAGGACUCAAAUCUUUGGAAGAUUCUUCUCUCCUUGUAACAUUGAAACUGUCUGUCUUUAUCAAUGGAGAAGGAACUGUCCAUUUGUGCUUCCGAGUAACUAGUUACAACUUUUUAGAUACUGUCAAUUAUUUAAUCAACUUGAAAAGCUAAAAAUGCUCACUUCAUAUUCUGCCAUCAAAAAGUUUCUCAAAUUUUUGAAUAAUGAAAAAACAAGCCCACAGAAAAUCAAGUCUAUCAUGUUAAACAUUAAUAAUUUAUUAAUUGAUGGACUCACUUUGACUUUAAUCUUGGGCCAGGGAAGUAAAGGGAAUAAACAUAUUACACAUAUUAAUAGUCGUAUGUGAAAGAAAUCACUUCAUAAUCCCACAUAAAACUUGUAGUAGGUAUAGUUAUUUCUCCACAAUCCAAUCUAAGACUUAACUACUAAUUGGCAGUUUACCAUAACCCAAUUAUCCUUCGUCCCUGGAAUGUAUUUUUCAUCUUCAAUCAGAACUUGACUGACACCCUAGGAAGUUAUUCCAAACAGAACAAUAAAGCCACAUAAGGAAGACACUUCAGUAGGAGGUGAGAUGCAAUACUCUCCAUAAGGACUCUUGCAAAACUUGUUCCUGCUAAUUGCUGCAUGACGUAACUAGAAAUAUGAUUUUUUAAACAUGCAAAACAUCCACUUAGGUAUUUGACUUCACUUAAAACUUCUCUGAAGACAACAGUCAACUGACUUCAACACUGCGACUGUUCAAAACAGAACUGAAACCAGGUGCUAUGAAUGUUUAUAUGAAUACGGUUUAAAUGUUUAAGGAGUGAAACCAGAUGAAACAAUGAAUUAUUAUAUUUUGGAAAAAUGAAUGACAAGUAAGAUUUUCUCAUAAGUUUCUUCUCAUUUAAAAUCAUUCCAAAAACUUAUCCUAUUAGGUGACUAUUAGUGAAGUUGAUUGCUGCAUUUAGGAAUUUACACACCAUAUGCAAACUGAGGAAAAGCUAUGGUUCUAAUCCCAAUGUAUUUCUUAAAAACACUAUGCAAGACUCUAGGAUCGAGUAGCUUAAUUUUCAGAAACUCAAAUGAAGUUCUUGAACAUAGUCUAUAUCCUUUUUAUUUUCUUACUUUUAAAUAAAUUCUGUAUUUUAUACUCCUUUAGAGGAAAUGACAUUUAUGUUACAAUAGGAAGGUCAAGUUCAAGAAAAUUGGAUGUUAAGACAGUAUCACAAAUGAAGGGAGUCUUUGCUAGCUCUCCUCUCAAAUGCACUAAGUUCUAACAUUUCAAGACCCUUAGCACUGAAACUAUUGUUCUAUUUUAUUAUAUCUGGAACUCUGUGUCUGCAAUGGAACAAGAAGAAAAACUUUGUUUUAAUUUUGGACUCCUUCCACAUCACACAGUUGGUAUUCUGUCUGUUGAAAAGAAACAGUAUUGUUUAAGAUUGUUAUUUUUGUAUGGUUACAUUAAAAAUGAUUAAAAGGUAUGCUAUUUAAGCUUU